GCAACGGAUAUCUAGGCUCUCGCAUCGRUGAAGAACGUAGCGAARUGCGAUACUUGGUGUGAAUUGCAGAAUCCCGUGAACCAUCGAGUUUUUGAA
rnacentral:rRNA from 1 species